GUUCCUGUCUAAUUAGGGAUAGGGAGGAGCUAACCCAUUGUUGUGCUGCCAUGGCCUAUGACCAGGAAAGGAAAAUUACAGUAAGUAUGGAUAAAUUUUCAUCUUUCUUUUAUUUUGUGUGCUUGAACAAAUUUGAUUUAGGGUCACAUUUUAAUUUGUGUUAAUUGCUGUGUAUACAGUUUGUUCAAAAUCAGUUCUAAUUAAACCAAUAUACUAAUUGAUUAGGAGGAACUAACAAUAAUAAAAUAAGAUUUAGGAUAUGUAUAAGCUGUAUAAGUAUGUAUAAAGGAUUGAAUGUUGUGGGUGUUUUUUAUUUUGCACUAUUGUGUUCUUUAUUUUGUUCUUUAUAUCACCAUGCAUAUGCUGAUGAAUAAGUUGUAACUGCCACACAUCCAUCAGCUGGUUGGAAACCCCACCGCAUGAGUGGAAAUCUAUAAGUUUUUGUUGUGUAUUCUGCCUGCCAACAUUAUUGUUUUUUAUCUUUUCACCUAUGUCCAUGAAAUACACAAGUCUGAAGUAAUACCAUCUGGAGGAUUGUAAAAAUGUAGUUUGUGAAAGUCCCAUUGGACUUGUUUUUAUAAUUUUUUCUAUAAUUAACUAGUUUUUUUGGCACAACUCAUAUUUGUUAUAUUUUACUCUAAAAAGAGGUUCAUCCUCAUAAAUAGAUGCAAUAUAUAAUCACUGGGCAUCUCCUGACCCUCUUAGCAUGUUUUUUCUUUGGCAGUUAUAAUAAACAGUUACACAAGUUGUCUUUCUUGUAUUCAUCUUUGCCAGAACUUAUUUUAGGAUAUUAUUUUAGGAAAGCACAUCUGCUACCCGAGCACAGGUAUAUUAAUUGUUAUUUAUCAACGAUGCAUGAUAGUAAACUAUUAGCAUUAUUAUUAUGCUGCUAAGUGAAUCUAUGUAAAUAUUGGUAGUAUGGAGAAAUUGCUAUAUUAUAAUAAUAAUUAACAACUGAUUUUAGGUGUUGGACACUGCUAUUAUUUGAGCUAUACAUAUGAAUGUACAAAAUACAGCUAGUCAAACACAGCAAUGAAAAAAGCUCAUGAACAGAGAUUUACUUAAAUAUAACAGAUACAUCAGUGCAUACAAUUUUGAUACAAUGACAAUUUUGAUGUGACACAUACAAAUAUGAAAAGCAAAGCAAAUACUGUUUUAUGUUAUGUCACCAGAUGCAUAAGAAUACAAAGCAAUGUUCUUUAUAAUUAACAAGUGUAUACAAAAUCAGUUAAAGUUUUUAAUGAAUAGUGCUCAAUAUUUGUUUUUUUUUUGUUUAUGUUAAAUGUAAUAUGCAUCCAAAAAUGUAUAAAAUCAGAUGAAUAUACCAUACAAGCUUUGUUUUUUUGUUUUUUGCGUUUUAAUUAAACAGUUUUGUGGUCAAGUGUUAUGAAUACUAUAGAAUGGUUCUCCUUAGAUUUGCAAAGUUCCUCUCGUAGGAAAACAGUAAAUUUAUGUUUAUGUAUUAUUUCAUGGUGACCCAUGUUUUAUAGUUUUUUUCCAUCAGCAAAAUUGUUGUCUUCUGAUUUUAAAUAACAUUCUCAAAGAGCUGUAAAGACCUCAUAAUAUUGUCAUCCUGUAAUUAAAAAAAGAAAAAAAAACAUUAGGCAGUUUUUCAAAGCAAUACAAAUAAAAACAUGAUAUUGUUAAAGUGAUAUUCUAAACACUAAAACCACUACAACUUAAAGAGUAACUGCCACUUCUCAUGGUUUUUAAUAUUAUCUUUACUUAUCCAUACAUUUAACAAAUACUUAUUAGUGAGUUGUACAAAACUAAACUAACCCCUUAAGGAUGGAGGUACGUCCUGAACCAGAAGAAAACCUUGAAUUUGAGAUUUAGGUUUGUUCCACUGCAAUUUAAGGGUUUCUCUUCAAAUUUUCGCACACAUAUUAUAUAUAGUUUUUUAAAGGACAGAAAAGAUUUUCAAUAAGCAUCCUAUAUAUCUGUUAAGACAUCCCUGGCACAAAGGAGUGAAAUCGUUGUUUAGUUAAGCUUCCCCUUCCUCAAUAAUGCAGGCUCAAUUCGUGUAUACUUUAACUGUACGAACUGCAAUCAGGGGAAUGCGCCAAUCUCCCGAACAAGACCCGUACAGAUGCGCCAAGCUCCCGAACAAUAAAUCCACGAAUUGCGGAUAACAGCCGAAC